rnacentral:rRNA from 1 species
AACGAGACCUUAACCUGCUAUUUAGUCGCUCGGUCUUUGUCCGUGCGCACUUCAUAGAGGGACUCUGCGGCGUCAAGCUGCGGUGAGGUUUAAGGCAAUAACAGGUCUGUGAUGCCCUUAGAUGUCCUGGGCUGCACGCGCGCUACACUGAUGCUUGCCUCGUGUUUACCCUCGGCCGAUAGGCCCUGGUAACCCCUAGUCUGCAUCGUGUUUGGGAUUGAUCUUUGCAAUUCUAGAUCAUGAACGAGGAAUGCCUAGUAUGCGCAAGUCAUCAGCUUGUGCAGAUUACGUCCCUGCCCUUUGUACACA